rnacentral:rRNA from 1 species
AUACGUAGGGGGCGAGCGUUGUCCGGAAUGACUGGGCGUAAAGGGCGUGUAGGCGGCCGAUUAAGUCUGGAGUGAAAGUCCUGCUUUCAAGGUGGGAAUUGCUUUGGAGACUGGUUGGCUUGAGUGCGGAGAGGUAAGUGGAAUUCCCAGUGUAGCGGUGAAAUGCGUAGAGAUUGGGAGGAACACCAGUGGCGAAGGCGACUUACGGGACUGUAACUGACGCUGAGGCGCGAAAGUGUGGGGAGCAAACAGGAUUAGAUACCCUGGUAGUCCACACCGUAAACGAUGAAUGCUAGGUGUAGGGGGUAUCGACCCCUUCUGUGCCGCAGUCAACACAAUAAGCAUUCCGCCUGGGGAGUACGGCCGCAAGGUUGAAACUCAAAUGAAUUGACGGGG